rnacentral:rRNA from 1 species
UGGGCAUUUCAAAAAGCGGAGGAAAAGAAACCAACAGGGAUUGCCUUAGUAGCGGCGAGUGAAGCGGCAAAAGCUCAAAUUUGAAAUCUGGCACUUUCAGUGUCCGAGUUGUAAUUUGAAGAAGGUAUCUUUGGGUCUGGCUCUUGUCUAUGUUUCUUGGAACAGAACGUCACAGAGGGUGAGAAUCCCGUGCGAUGAGAUGACCCAGACCUAUGUAAAGUUCCUUCGAAGAGUCGAGUUGUUUGGGAAUGCAGCUCUAAGUGGGUGGUAAAUUCCAUCUAAAGCUAAAUAUUGGCGAGAGACCGAUAGCGAACAAGUACAGUGAUGGAAAGAUGAAAAGAACUUUGAAAAGAGAGUGAAAAAGUACGUGAAAUUGUUGAAAGGGAAGGGCUUGAGAUCAGACUUGGUAUUUUGUAUGUUACUCUUUCGGGGGUGGCCUCUACAGUUUACCGGGCCAGCAUCAGUUUGGGCGGUAGGAGAAUUGCAAAGAAAUGUGGCACUGCUUCGGUAGUGUGUUAUAGUCUUUGUCGAUACUGCCAGCCUAGACUGAGGACUGCGGCUUCGGCCUAGGAUGUUGGCAUAAUGAUCUUAAGUUGCCCGUCUUGAACCACGGACCA